CCUACGGGUGGCCGCAGUGGGAAAUAUUGCACAAUGGGGGAAACCCUGAUGCAGCGACGCCGCGUGAGUGAAGAAGUAUUUCGGUAUGUAAAGCUCUAUCAGCAGGGAAGAAAAUGACGGUACCUGAUUAAGAAGCCCCGGCUAACUACGUGCCAGCGGCCGCGGUAAUACGUAGGGGGCAAGCGUUCGCCGGAUUUACUGGGUGUAAGGGGAGCGGAGACGGAAGAAAAAGGCUGGAGUGAAGUGCCGGGGCUGAACCCCGGAACUGCUUUGGAAACUGUGCAGCUAGAGUGCAGGAGAGGGAAGUGGAAUUCCUGGGGUAGCGGUGAAAUGCGUAGAUAUUAGGAGGAACACCAGUGGCGAAGGCGGCUUACUGGACUUUAACUGACGUUGAGGCUCGAAAGCGUGGGGAGCAAACAGGAUUAGAUACCCCAGUAGUC
rnacentral:rRNA from 1 species